rnacentral:piRNA from 1 species
UGGGACCACUAACUCUUGCUGGCUCUGC